rnacentral:rRNA from 1 species
ACCCGCACAAGCAGCGGAGCGUGUGGUUUAAUUCGAGGCUACACGAAGAACCUUACCAGGGUUUGACAUGCAAGUGGUAGGAAUCCGAAAGGUGACCGACCCUUCGGGGAGCUUGCACAGGUGCUGCAUGGCUGUCGUCAGCUCGUGUCGUGAGAUGUUCGGUUAAGUCCGCUAACGAGCGCAACCCUCGUCGUGUGUUAUACGUGUCACACGAUACUGCCGGUAUCAAGCCGGAGGAAGGUGGGGAUGAUGUCAAGUCAGCAUGGCCUUUAUAUCCUGGGCUACACACACGCUACAAUGGCAGAUACAAUAGGUUGCUAAGCCGCGAGGUGGCGCCAAUCCAUAAAGUUGGUCUCAGUUCAGAUUGUAGGCUGCAACCCGCCUGCAUGAAGAUGGAGUUGCUAGUAACCGCAGGUCAGCUAUACUGCGGUGAAUACGUUCCCGGGGCUU